rnacentral:rRNA from 1 species
GUGUGUUAGUGGAAGCGUCUGGAAAGGCGCGCGAUACAGGGUGACAGCCCCGUACACAAAAAUGCACAUGCUGUGAGCUCGAUGAGUAGGGCGGGACACGUGGUAUCCUGUCUGAAUAUGGGGGGACCAUCCUCCAAGGCUAAAUACUCCUGACUGACCGAUAGUGAACCAGUACCGUGAGGGAAAGGCGAAAAGAACCCCGGCGAGGGGAGUGAAAAAGAACCUGAAACCGUGUACGUACAAGCAGUGGGAGCACGCUUAGGCGUGUGACUGCGUACCUUUUGUAUAAUGGGUCAGCGACUUAUAUUCUGUAGCAAGGUUAACCGAAUAGGGGAGCCGAAGGGAAACCGAGUCUUAACUGGGCGUUAAGUUGCAGGGUAUAGACCCGAAACCCGGUGAUCUAGCCAUGGGCAGGUUGAAGGUUGGGUAACACUAACUGGAGGACCGAACCGACUAAUGUUGAAAAAUUAGCGGAUGACUUGUGGCUGGGGGUGAAAGGCCAAUCAAACCGGGAGAUAGCUGGUUCUCCCCGAAAGCUAUUUAGGUAGCGCCUCGUGAAUUCAUCUCCGGGGGUAGAGCACUGUUUCGGCAAGGGGGUCAUCCCGACUUACCAACCCGAUGCAAACUGCGAAUACCGGAGAAUGUUAUCACGGGAGACACACGGCGGGUGCUAACGUCCGUCGUGAAGAGGGAAACAACCCAGACCGCCAGCUAAGGUCCCAAAGUCAUGGUUAAGUGGGAAACGAUGUGGGAAGGCCCAGACAGCCAGGAUGUUGGCUUAGAAGCAGCCAUCAUUUAAAGAAAGCGUAAUAGCUCACUGGUCGAGUCGGCCUGCGCGGAAGAUGUAACGGGGCUAAACCAUGCAC